UACGUAGGGGGCAAGCGUUAUCCGGAUUUACUGGGUGUAAAGGGAGCGUAGGCGGCUUAGUAAGUCAGAAGUGAAAGCCCGCAGCUCAACUGCGGGACUGCUUUUGAAACUGCCAGGCUAGAGUGUCGGAGAGGUAUGCGGAAUGCGCAGUGUAGCGGUGAAAUGCUUAGAUAUUGCGCAGAACUCCGAUUGCGAAGGCAGCAUACCGGCGGCGAUCUGACGCUGAGGCACGAAAGCGUGGGUAUCGAACAGG
rnacentral:rRNA from 1 species